rnacentral:rRNA from 1 species
AAUUGAAGAGUUUGAUCAUGGCUCAGAUUGAACGCUGGCGGCAGGCCUAACACAUGCAAGUCGAACGGUAACAGAAAGCAGCUUGCUGCUUUGCUGACGAGUGGCGGACGGGUGAGUAAUGUCUGGGAAACUGCCUGAUGGAGGGGGAUAACUACUGGAAACGGUAGCUAAUACCGCAUAACGUCGCAAGACCAAAGAGGGGGACCUUCGGGCCUCUUGCCAUCGGAUGUGCCCAGAUGGGAUUAGCUUGUUGGUGGGGUAACGGCUCACCUAGGCGACGAUCCCUAGCUGGUCUGAGAGGAUGACCAGCCACACUGGAACUGAGACACGGUCCAGACUCCUACGGGAGGCAGCAGUGGGGAAUAUUGCACAAUGGGCGCAAGCCUGAUGCAGCCAUGCCGCGUGUAUGAAGAAGGCCUUCGGGUUGUAAAGUACUUUCAGCGGGGAGGAAGGGAGUAAAGUUAAUACCUUUGCUCAUUGACGUUACCCGCAGAAGAAGCACCGGCUAACUCCGUGCCAGCAGCCGCGGUAAUACGGAGGGUGCAAGCGUUAAUCGGAAUUACUGGGCGUAAAGCGCACGCAGGCGGUUUGUUAAGUCAGAUGUGAAAUCCCCGGGCUCAACCUGGGAACUGCAUCUGAUACUGGCAAGCUUGAGUCUCGUAGAGGGGGGUAGAAUUCCAGGUGUAGCGGUGAAAUGCGUAGAGAUCUGGAGGAAUACCGGUGGCGAAGGCGGCCCCCUGGACGAAGACUGACGCUCAGGUGCGAAAGCGUGGGGAGCAAACAGGAUUAGAUACCCUGGUAGUCCACGCCGUAAACGAUGUCGACUUGGAGGUUGUGCCCUUGAGGCGUGGCUUCCGGAGCUAACGCGUUAAGUCGACCGCCUGGGGAGUACGGCCGCAAGGUUAAAACUCAAAUGAAUUGACGGGGGCCCGCACAAGCGGUGGAGCAUGUGGUUUAAUUCGAUGCAACGCGAAGAACCUUACCUGGUCUUGACAUCCACGGAAGUUUUCAGAGAUGAGAAUGUGCCUUCGGGAACCGUGAGACAGGUGCUGCAUGGCUGUCGUCAGCUCGUGUUGUGAAAUGUUGGGUUAAGUCCCGCAACGAGCGCAACCCUUAUCCUUUGUUGCCAGCGGUCCGGCCGGGAACUCAAAGGAGACUGCCAGUGAUAAACUGGAGGAAGGUGGGGAUGACGUCAAGUCAUCAUGGCCCUUACGACCAGGGCUACACACGUGCUACAAUGGCGCAUACAAAGAGAAGCGACCUCGCGAGAGCAAGCGGACCUCAUAAAGUGCGUCGUAGUCCGGAUUGGAGUCUGCAACUCGACUCCAUGAAGUCGGAAUCGCUAGUAAUCGUGGAUCAGAAUGCCACGGUGAAUACGUUCCCGGGCCUUGUACACACCGCCCGUCACACCAUGGGAGUGGGUUGCAAAAGAAGUAGGUAGCUUAACCUUCGGGAGGGCGCUUACCACUUUGUGAUUCAUGACUGGGGUGAAGUCGUAACAAGGUAACCGUAGGGGAACCUGCGGUUGGAUCACCUCCUUA